AUACGUAGGGGGCGAGCGUUGUCCGGAAUGAUUGGGCGUAAAGGGCGCGUAGGCGGCGCGGUAAGUCUGGAGUGAAAGUCCUGCUUUCAAGGUGGGAAUUGCUUUGGAUACCGUCGGGCUUGAGUGCAGGAGAGGUAAGUGGAAUUCCCAGUGUAGCGGUGAAAUGCGUAGAGAUUGGGAGGAACACCAGUGGCGAAGGCGACUUACUGGACUGUAACUGACGCUGAGGCGCGAAAGUGUGGGGAGCAAACAGGAUUAGAUACCCUGGUAGUCCACACUGUAAACGAUGAAUGCUAGGUGUAGGGGGUAUCGACCCCUUCUGUGCCGCAGUCAACACAAUAAGCAUUCCGCCUGGGGAGUACGGCCGCAAGGUUGAAACUUAAAGGAAUUGACGGGG
rnacentral:rRNA from 1 species